UACGUAGGGGGCAAGCGCUGUCCGGAUUUACUGGGCGUAAAGAGCGCGUAGGCGGAAGCUUAAGUGUGGUUUGAAAGCCCCCGGCUCAACCGGGGAAUGUGAUUGCAAACCGGGCUUCUUGAGGGGGAUAGAGGAGAGUGGAAUUCCUGGUGUAGCGGUGAAAUGCGUAGAGAUCGGCAGGAACACCCAGGGGGAAACCAGUGGACUGGGCAUGAGCUGACGCUCAGGUGCGAAAGCGUGGGGAGCGAACCGG
rnacentral:rRNA from 1 species